UAAAAAUAUAAAACCAUCCGUUCAUUCCAAAACCAAUCAUAAAUGUUGUUGUGCUGGUGUGGUAGUUGUGAUUGUUAUCAUCAUGAGGUUGGUCAGCUGUGACAUUUUUUAAAACAUGUUUUUCUCUUUAAAUACUUAGCUAUUCAAGAAGGGGAACAAGAAGGAUUCCCACCGCUCUGAAUCAGAACAAGUACAGACCACUGCUGAAGAUGGCAUGCUGCCCAGCAUAGUGCCACAUGCUGCCAUGUCUGCACUGCCAAACGAUCUCCCCGUCAGCUCCCAACAGGAGACGCCUCACAAACGUCCACUUCUCGUCAGGAUGUUUUCUGCCAUCUCCAAAGGCCUGUUCAAGCCCUUCAAACAGUCCUUAAAGACCAAGUAACUUCAGACAAUUUAUUAAACGUCAUUCAUUGCAUUAAAUUGGCCUUUGUCUUCUUAUGUGCUCCCGUUAACAGACCAGAUUACAAUACUGGUCUUUUAAAUGUUAGCAGUGAUAGCAACAUUAACUAUAGUGGUGUGUGUAUAGCCCUUCUACACAGUCUGACUCUUCUGACACUGUGUGACAUGCCCUCUGAUCCAGUGAUCUAGGAUCUUCUGAGUGGCUUUAGGCCUGAAUCUCUGCCCUCCUGCCCAAAUAAAUGUUUUCUCUUCUGAUAUAUCUGCCACUGUCAGCAGCCAGCAGGGGAAAACAGACAAUGCUGUUGAGAGCUUUCUUUUCUCCCUCAUGACUAAAACACUGAGAAAGGCUUUUAUCUAUUGCAGCAUAUUCCAUCUUUUGAUUUAACCUAUUAUACGGUAGAAGUACCCAUUAUUUCCCAACGGUUAUAUCACAGGAAAUGUGUUAUAAAAAGUAAACUUACAGUGCAUCCGGAAAGUAUUCAGACCACUUGACUUUUUCCACAUCGUUACGCCUUAUUCUAAAA
rnacentral:lncRNA from 1 species